CAAUAAGCGGAGGACCGGAAGUAAAAGUCGUANNNNGGCAUAUCAAUAAGCGGAGGACCGGAAGUAUUUUGCAUAUGCAGGCAUAUCCAUAAACGAAUUACUAAUUACAACUUUCAACAACGGAUCUCUUGGUUCUGGCAUCGAUGAAGAACGCAGCGAAAUGCGAUAAGUAGUGUGAAUUGCAGAAUUCAGUGAAUCAUCGAAUCUUUGAACGCACAUUGCGCCCUUUGGUAUUCCAAAGGGCAUGCCUGUUCGAGCGUCAUUUGUACCCUCAAGCUUUGCUUGGUGUUGGGCGUCUUGUCUCUAGCUUUGCUGGAGACUCGCCUUAAAGUAAUUGGCAGCCGGCCUACUGGUUUCGGAGCGCANCACAAGUCGCACUCUCUAUCAGCAAAGGUCUAGCAUCCAUUAAGCCUUUUUUCAACUUUUGACCUCGGAUCAGGUAGGGAUACCCGCUGAACUUAAGCAUAUCAAUAAGCGGAGGAACCGGAAGUAAUAGUCGUAACAAG
rnacentral:rRNA from 1 species